rnacentral:lncRNA from 1 species
GAAGUGCUGAAAACGGUUCCUAGGUAAAACACACCAGGAUUUCCCACCAGGCUUGUAUAACAGUAGAGGUUUAAUCCUUCCCCAAAAGAUAUGUCUUUCUACAUCUUUCUUGAGACUCAGUUCCAACCAGUAAAAGAUGGGUCAUUCAGAAUUAAAAAAAAAAAAAAAAAAAGAGAGAGAGGGAAAACAGACAUGGCUCUUUGCAGUUUGCAGUCCUGAUAGAACAGCCUCCCCAGCCUCUGGGGGAUCAGAGAGACCCCAGCUGUGGCAUACAGUGUUAUGACUUCUCCCUGCCAUGUACAUAAGCUGUCCACAUAUCUACCUGGUCCAAAACAUGCGUGCCAUAUCUUAGGUAAGUGCCAAAAGGAAGCAUAUUCUUUCUCUUCAUUAUUAAUCGAUUCUCCUCCUUGAUUUCAUAUUUAUUUAAGCAUUUAAAGUAGUUCUGAACACAUGCCUACAACAUUUCUUCAUCAAAUCAGGAAUUUCAAGUCUGUAUCAUCUGUAUGCUUUGCACAUAAGAAAGAUUUUAUUUUUACUGAUACUUGGGCUUUAGUGCAAGUGUUUCUAAACAUGAGAUAGAACCCCUAGGAGAUCUCUGAGUUAUUUCUAAGGAAUGCCUAAGAAAAGUGUACUGCAAAUAGUUAUAUUUUCUUUUGUAAGCACCUAACGUUCAGCAGCAACAUUCCCAAUGGUUACAAAUCAGAAAGCUGUUGAGAGCUCCUGCUUCAGUGUAUCCUUUCUGGGAAUGUUAACUCAGACACGCCAGUCGAAAAGAUGACUCCCUGAGCUCUGAGAACACUGAAAGCUUCCUUUGCACAACUCAUGUGACUUCUUUGUGUUUGUCAUUUGGCUUGGAUCAGUGAAUCCCACACAGUGCAUCGUUUCUGAUAGGAAUGGCCAGAAAUGCUUAUAUAUCAAUCCACACCGUCCACUAUUCAGGGAAUAUUUUGGCCACACCUCUCUUCGGUGCAGACCUUUGGAUUUUUCCUUUGGUUAUUUGCAAUGUUGACUUUCAUUUUCUUGGCAAUGUGUAAACUCUGAAUAGGAGAAAGCUAUUUUUAGCUGUACAUCAACACAUUAAAAGCAAAGUAAUUCCCAGUAUCCAUAUAUGAGCUAAAGUAUAGGAAGAUUUUACAUAGCUAGUAAAGUCAAGUUGCUUUUACAGGCUUUAAUGGCUAGCAAACUGUUCAUUUAGCAUUGUAAAGUAAAAAAUACCCUCCUAUCCCUUUUAAAUAGUCUCUCCUUUCAUCACUUCUAUCACAGAAGAAUACUUUGUCUUUGUU